rnacentral:rRNA from 1 species
CCUACGGGGGGCUGUAGUGGGGAAUAUUGGACAAUGGGCGAAAGCCUGAUCCAGCCAUGCCGCGUGUGUGAAGAAGGCCUUCGGGUUGUAAAGCACUUUCAGUGGGGAAGAAAGCCUUGGGGCUAAUACCCUCGAGGAAGGACAUCACCCACAGAAGAAGCACCGGCUAACUCCGUGCCAGCAGCCGCGGUAAUACGGAGGGUGCGAGCGUUAAUCGGAAUUACUGGGCGUAAAGCGAGCGUAGGCGGUCUGAUAAGCCGGUUGUGAAAGCCCCGGGCUCAACCUGGGAACGGCAUCCGGAACUGUCAGGCUAGAGUGCAGGAGAGGAAGGUAGAAUUCCCGGUGUAGCGGUGAAAUGCGUAGAGAUCGGGAGGAAUACCAGUGGCGAAGGCGGCCUUCUGGACUGACACUGACGCUGAGGUGCGAAAGCGUGGGUAGCAAACAGGAUUAGAUACCCGAGUAGUC